UACGAAGGGUGCAAGCGUUACUCGGAAUUACUGGGCGUAAAGCGUGCGUAGGUGGUUUGUUAAGUCUGAUGUGAAAGCCCCGGGCUCAACCUGGGAAUUGCAUUUGAGACUGCAUAGCUAGGGUGCGGAAGAGGGAAGCGGAAUUUCCGGUGUAGCGGUGAAAUGCGUAGAUAUCGGAAGGAACACCAGUGGCGAAAGCGGCUUCCUGGUCCCAGCACCGACGUUCAGGCACGAAAGCGUGGGGAGCAAACAGG
rnacentral:rRNA from 1 species